AUGGAGCUUAAUAGGUGUCGCCGCGGCCGACGUGAUUCGAAGAGAGAAGCUAGUAAUGGGGGCUCCCUAAGCGAACUGCCUGCUGAAGUACAAGCUUGUAAUGGGGACAUGCUAAGGGAGCUGCCUGCUGACUUAGAAGCUGGCGAUAGGGACAGGCUAAGCGAGCUGCCUGCUGAUUUGCUGCUCAACAUUCUGGAGAGGGUGGGUACCCUCGAUGCUGUAAAAACCUGCAUACUUUCCAAAAAAAUGCAGAAGCUGCCCACUAUGCUCUCGCAGAUUGUGAUUGAUCUUAGCACUGAUGACUUGGUCCGCAUUCACACCGUCGUGGCCAAUGUUACGAACAAGAUCCUCAAUGCAAGGUCUUCGAAGAUCACCAUUCGUAAGCUGAAGCUCAAAUUCUUUUUGAGUCCUUCUCACUGUCUCUCCAUUGGCAAAUGUGUUGGCCUCGCCAUGGCGGACCAGAAAGUGGACUCAGCUGAGUUUGAGAUCUUGACGCCCAGGAAUGGUCAUCUUUGCACCGAAGCCUACCGCCUGUUCUUUGCUGACCAGUUCAAUGAUUUUUUUCGUGAUUGCCCAGAUGCAUUUGCUGGCCUCACGGGGCUGCAUCUACAAUACAUGAGGUUUGGUGAAUCAGACAUAACCAACAUCCUAAGCUAUUGCAAGCAGCUGGAGUCACUAUCUUUGUUCAUGUGUGACGAGGGGGUCUCUUCGGUGCUGCAUGUAGAACACGCACGACUCGUGGAGCUUGUUAUCUCCUAUUGUGAAUUCAAAACAGUGGAGCUCACCUUUCUACCAAAGCUCCAGCGGAUGACCUUUAAUAGUUGGCCCUCCUGUGCUGAACAUCCCUUGGCUAUUGGUUUUGUCCCUGAGCUUUCGAAGCUGAGCCUUGCUAAGGCAUGUUUUUCACACAAGACACUCAAGCUAAGCCAGCUGCUUGCUAAUGUCCCCUCCGUAAACGAUCUGUCCCUGGAAUUUCGAAGUGAAAAGACUGCCGCUGAUGCCACUGUGAUUGACUACGUCGACGACGACCCCUUCUUCUUGUCUGAGCAACCAGAUGACGGAGCCCAGGAGCCAGAUGUCACCGCCGAUGCCUACUACUACGUGGAGACCGCCGACGACCAGGAGUAG
rnacentral:rRNA from 1 species